GGCAACCUGGCGGCGAGUGGCGAACGGGUGAGUAAUACAUCGGAACGUACCCAGAAGUGGGGGAUAACGUAUCGAAAGUUACGCUAAUACCGCAUACGAUCUACGGAUGAAAGUGGGGGACCUUCGGGCCUCAUGCUUUUGGAGCGGCCGAUGUCUGAUUAGCUAGUUGGUGAGGUAAAGGCUCACCAAGGCGACGAUCACUAGCUGGUCUGAGAGGACGACCAGCCACUCUGGGACUGAGACACGGCCCAAACUCCUACUGGAGGCAGCAGUGGGGAAUUUUGGACAAUGGGCGCAAGCCUGAUCCAGCAAUGCCGCGUGAGUGAAGAAGGCCUUCCGGUUGUAAAGCUCUUUUGUCAGGGAAGAAACGGCUGAGGAUAAUACCUUCGGCUAAUGACGGUACCUGAAGAAUAAGCACCGGCUAACUACGUGCCAGCAGCCGCGGUAAUACGUAGGGUGCAAGCGUUAAUCGGAAUUACUGGGCGUAAAGCGUGCGCAGGCGGUUUUGUAAGUCUGACGUGAAAGCCCCGGGCUCAACCUGGGAAUUGCGUUGGAGACUGCAAGGCUUGAAUCUGGCAGAGGGGGGUAGAAUUCCACGUGUAGCAGUGAAAUGCGUACAGAUGUGGAGGAACACCGAUGGCGAA
rnacentral:rRNA from 1 species